rnacentral:rRNA from 1 species
GAUGAACGCUGGCGGCGUGCCUAAUACAUGCAAGUCGAGCGAACAGACGAGGAGCUUGCUCCUCUGACGUUAGCGGCGGACGGGUGAGUAACACGUGGAUAACCUACCUAUAAGACUGGGAUAACUUCGGGAAACCGGAGCUAAUACCGGAUAAUAUAUUGAACCGCAUGGUUCAAUAGUGAAAGACGGUUUUGCUGUCACUUAUAGAUGGAUCCGCGCCGCAUUAGCUAGUUGGUAAGGUAACGGCUUACCAAGACAACGAUGCGUAGCCGACCUGAGAGGGUGAUCGGCCACACUGGAACUGAGACACGGUCCAGACUCCUACGGGAGGCAGCAGUAGGGAAUCUUCCGCAAUGGGCGAAAGCCUGACGGAGCAACGCCGCGUGAGUGAUGAAGGUCUUCGGAUCGUAAAACUCUGUUAUUAGGGAAGAACAAAUGUGUAAGUAACUAUGCACGUCUUGACGGUACCUAAUCAGAAAGCCACGGCUAACUACGUG